rnacentral:lncRNA from 1 species
AUAUGAGCUAUAAAUCAUUUUAUUGGUGUAAGCAAAGGAUAAACUCCAUAGUUAUAAAUUUGAUUUAGGGGGACAAAUAUGGCUAAAAUUAUAAAGUUUAUUUAUCUCAUUAUUAUUAUUCUUUCUCUUUCUUUUGCUGCAACAAACGUUGAAUGUAAGCAAUUUUUUUUUAAAAUUUCCUCAUUUACUUUUUACACAAUAUUUUAACUAAUCUAAUUUAUAUUAUUUUAUCAUAUUUUCUCCUUGCAGCAUUGCACAGUCAUAGAAAUUGUUUUAGAGAUUCAGAUUGUAUUAAAGAGAAUUGUAGAAGACCUACGUUAAUUAAGUGUGUGAGUCGUUUGUGUAAAUGUGUAGCGGUAUUUCAACGCCCUAUCGAAGAGUAAAUAAAUUCACUAAAACAAUUAUUCUUCACGAAGUUGUUAUGUAUUGGUGCCCUAUAAUAUUAUUUUCACUUCCUUAUCUAAUUUCAAGUAUGGAAUUUUUGUGACUUUGUAAUCUAAGAUGAUAGAUAUGAAAUAAAAUAAGAUUCAAUUAACAGUAAUUAGAUUAUUUUUCAUAUUUUUAAUAUUAGAUACACUGCAAUAGCCUUCAAUUAAGGUGUUUUAAUUUUUCAUCCACUCAUUACUAUCUAUCAUAAUAUCUUCAAUAUU